rnacentral:rRNA from 1 species
GAUGAACGCUGGCGGCGUGCCUAAUACAUGCAAGUCGAGCGAACAGACGAGGAGCUUGCUCCUCUGACGUUAGCGGCGGACGGGUGAGUAACACGUGGAUAACCUACCUAUAAGACUGGGAUAACUUCGGGAAACCGGAGCUAAUACCGGAUAACAUGUUGAACCGCAUGGUUCAACAGUGAAAGACGGUCUUGCUGUCACUUAUAGAUGGAUCCGCGCCGCAUUAGCUAGUUGGUAAGGUAACGGCUUACCAAGGCAACGAUGCGUAGCCGACCUGAGAGGGUGACCAGCCACACUGGGACUGAGACACGGUCCAGACUCCUACGGGAGGCAGCAGUAGGGAAUCUUCCGCAAUGGGCGAAAGCCUGACGGAGCAACGCCGCGUGAGUGAAGAAGGUCUUCGGAUCGUAAAUCUCUGUUAUUAGGGAAGAACAAAUGUGUAAGUAACUAUGCACGUCUUGACGGUACCUAAUCAGAAAGCCACGGCUAACUACGUG